rnacentral:rRNA from 1 species
AGACAGCAGUAGCCGCGGGAAAACGAGGGGUGCAAGCGUUAUUCGGAUUGAUUGGGUGUAAAGGGUGUGCAGACGGCUUAUUAAGUCACUUGUUAAAUUCUUCGGCCUAACUGAAGGUCUGCAGGUGAUACUGAUGAGCUAGAGGGUGGAAGAGAGAAGUGGAAUUCUCGGAGUAGCGGUAAAAUGCGUAGAUCUCGAGAGGAACACCAAUGGCGAAGGCAGCUUCUUGGUCCAUUCCUGACGUUCAUACACGAAAGCGUGGGGAGCAAACAGGAUUAGAUACCCCAGUAGUCCCUGUCUCUUAUAC